UAUUCCAUGGGGUAUUUUCCUGAGUGAAAACUAUUUUGGUGCCAGUUUGAUUCCAGUUUGUAAACUACUUGAUGGUGACUAGAUACAAAGCGCUAAAGGAGGUCUUUCUAUUAGGAAGCUUGUCAAUUCCCCUCUUCAUGGGGCAACAUUUGGUACAUUAAGCAAAUACAUUGAAAUGCAUUUGUCAGUCUCAGGUGCAGAGUGUAUAAACAUCCCAACUCCACCAUAGGAAUAGGUGAUUAUGGUCUAAUGCUGGAGCAGCUCCUGCUAAGAGAAGCAAUUAGGUGAGUGAUCCAAAGAGAUUUUUGACCUUUUUUUGUUUCUUUUCAGUUUUUUUCUUGCCUGCUAAAUAGGAUUGAGCAGUCAUAUAGCAGAAUGUAAUCUUUCAAGCUGGACGACUUCAACUAAAUGAGGGAUGGAUUUUGCAGUUAAAAUGCCAUCAAGAUCAUACGUAGAAGAGUAAUGAGAGCACUACUAUCUUGUCAAGACAGCUUACUGCAGUUUUGCAGCACAAGGCCAUGAUUUUGACUGGAACACUUGAUUUCCUUUUUCUUAACAUGGAUGUGUUGUGAAAGGCAACCGUUUUGCUUAAAUCAAGUUCUCAUAAAUACUGUAACAGGAGAGCACUCUUAGUAGAUGUUAUCUUUUGGAAGGCCUGGCAUCUGACACCCUCCUGUUUUUCUACCUCAACAGAUCUUGCUGAGUAAUUGAGACCUGUGCUGACAGAAAACAGAUUUUUGACACAGAGAACUGGGAUAAUUUUGACACAUUACAUUUCUGCUCUUGAAGGGUCAUGGAAGUUUAAGUUGUGAGUUUGCACUGAAACUGCUAGACACAGAAGAAAAGAAACACAGGAAGUCUGCAGGACUACAGCUAAGUAACAAAAUCAAGGCUUUACCCUCCUCCAAAACUAUGCAGAAAAGUUGAGAUUGACUGCCAGCUCAUACUGAACUACCUAAGAACUUCCUGAUUUAAACGUUCUCUACAUGUGUUAAAUUCUGUGUAGUGUAUAAUUUCUGAUGAUCGCUGAGAUGUGUCCAGUCAAUUUAGGGGGAAAUUAAGCAUAUAAAUACAUACAAAAAUACUAUUCAGAGUAUAUUUUUAUCUCCAGAAUACUACAAACUUCAGGUAUUUAUCGUUUGACUUGGUCUGAGAAUAAAAAUGAA